rnacentral:hammerhead_ribozyme from 1 species
ACCCAACUGACUAGUCCCAAAUAGGACUAAAUGUACGUCCAGGAU